rnacentral:rRNA from 1 species
GACGAACGCUGGCGGCGUGCUUAACACAUGCAAGUCGAACGGAAAGGCCCUGCCUGCAGGGUACUCGAGUGGCGAACGGGUGAGUAACACGUGGGUGAUCUGCCCUGCACUUCGGGAUAAGCCUGGGAAACUGGGUCUAAUACCGGAUAGGAGCCAUUUUUAGUGUGAUGGUUGGAAAGUUUUUUCGGUGUAGGAUGAGCUCGCGGCCUAUCAGCUUGUUGGUGGGGUAAUGGCCUACCAAGGCGGCGACGGGUAGCCGGCCUGAGAGGGUGGACGGCCACAUUGGGACUGAGAUACGGCCCAGACUCCUACGGGAGGCAGCGGUGGGGAAUAUUGCACAAUGGGCGCAAGCCUGAUGCAGCGACGCCGCGUGGGGGAUGACGGCCUUCGGGUUGUAAACUCCUUUCGCUAGGGACGAAGCUUUUUGUGACGGUACCUAGAUAAGAAGCACCGGCUAACUACGUG